CAAGUCGAACGAGAAUCUGGAGGUUCAAGUUUUCGGACAAGAACUUUCGGAGGAAAGUGGCGGAAGGGUGAGUACAACAUGGAUAAUCUACCUUCAAGUUGGGUAUAGCUUCCCGAAAGGGGAGAUAAUCCCGAAUGUGGUGAUCCGGCGCCUGUCGGAGAAUCCAAAGGUGGGGACCGCAAGGCCUGCCGCUUGAAGAUGAGUCCGUGCACUAUCAGCUAGUUGGUGAGGUAAUGGCUCACCAAGGCGAUGACGGUUAGCUGGUCUGAGAGGAUGGUCAGCCACACUGGGACUGAGAUACUGCCCAGACUCCUACGGGAGGCUGCAGUCGAGAAUCAUUCGCAAUGGGCGCAAGCCUGACGGUGCGACGUCGCGUGGAGGAUGAAGGUCUUCGGAUUGUAAACUCCUGUCAUGUGGGAUAAAUGGCCAGGGCAUGAAUAGUGCCUUGGAAUGAUAGUACCACAGGAGGAAGGGACGGCUAACUCUGUG
rnacentral:rRNA from 1 species